rnacentral:rRNA from 1 species
UACGAAGGGGGCAAGCGUUGUUCGGAAUUAUUGGGCGUAAAGGGUGCGUAGGCGGCUUUUUAAGUUUGGUGUGAAAUCUCCCGGCUCAACUGGGAGGGUGCGCCGAAUACUGAGAGGCUAGAGUGUGGGAGAGGAAAGUGGAAUUCCUGGUGUAGCGGUGAAAUGCGUAGAUAUCAGGAGGAACACCGGUGGUGUAAACGGCUUUCUGGACCAUAACUGACGCUGAGGCACGAAAGCGUGGGUAGCAAACAGG